GUUGUUGUGGCCUAGUGUUUAAGGCGAUGGACUAGAAAUCCAUUGGGGUCUGCCUGCAUAGGUUUGAAUCCUACCAACAACA